UACGUAGGGGGCUAGCGUUGUCCGGAAUCAUUGGGCGUAAAGCGCGUGUAGGCGGCCCGGUAAGUCCGCUGUGAAAGUCGGGGGCUCAACCCUCGGAUGCCGGUGGAUACUGUCGGGCUAGAGUGCGGAAGAGGCGAGUGGAAUUCCUGGUGUAGCGGUGAAAUGCGCAGAUAUCAGGAGGAACACCAAUGGCGAAGGCAGCACUCUGGGACGUGACUGACGCUGAGACGCGAAAGCGUGGGGAGCAAACAGG
rnacentral:rRNA from 1 species